rnacentral:ncRNA from 1 species
ACUCUAGUCUGACGCUGUGAAGAGACAUCAGAGGUGCAGAAUAAACGGGAAGCCCUGCAGUUGUGCGACUCAGGCCAUGGUCCAGUUGCCAGUGAAAUACUACUGAUCAUUUUUUCCACUUAGGCAGUAAGGUGUGCGUGUGUGAGGUGAGCCCCAAAGCACUCUCACUUCUGAUGCCAAGUGCCUGGCAAGACCUGCUUCAGGGCCAGUGUCAGGUGGGGAGUUUGACGGGCGCAGUACAUCUGCCAAACCACAACACAGGUGGCCCAAGGCGAGCUCAGGGAGGACAGGAAACUCCUGCAGAGCAGAAGAUCAAGGCUUGAUCUUGAUUUUCAGUAUAAAUAUUAUCCAGGACCUCACACUCCUCCUCACUUUUUGGGUUUUAAGCAAGCAUCCAGGAGACAGUAGAUG